rnacentral:lncRNA from 1 species
GAGCCUCAAAAGUGACUUUAUUGACCGAAGCGCCGGUGCCACCGCCGUGCCGGUGACGUGUCCCCGAGGUGUCCCCAGGGUGUCCCCGAGUGUCCCCAGCCCCGUCGCUGCGAGGGGUGGUUUGGGGCCAGGAGGUGACACCGAGCGCUGGGGAUGUGGGGACAUGAUGGCACGGGGACAUGGGGGGGACAUGGGGACACAGGGGGGACACGGGGCCUUGAGGACAUGGGGACACAGAGCCACUGGGACACGAGCAGGUGGGGACAUAGGGACAUGGUGGGACAUGGUGGGGGGACACAGGGCCACGAGCAGGUGGGGCCAUGGGGACACGGGGCCAGGGGGACACAGGGACAUGGGGACACGGGGACAGAGGGACAGAGGGACAGAGGGACACGGGGGACACGGGGACCUGGGGCCGCGGUUCCGGGCCGGAUCAAGGCACCGGCAGCAGCAGCCGGGAGGUGGCGGCGUCCUCGUCCCCGUCCCCGCGGCGGUGGCCGUCCUCGUCCUCGUCCCCGUCGCCGUCCUCGUCCCCGCGGUGGCGCACGGCCCGGCCGUGCAGGCGGCUGAAGCGACGUCCCUCCAGCCUGCGGGCGGGCGCCGGGGCCCAGGCGUCCGGGAGGGGCCCAGGCGUCCGGGGAAACACAGGUAUGUGGGGAGGCUUGGGGGGGCCCAGGCGUCCGGGAGGGGCCCAGGUGUCCAGGAAAAGGGGCCCAGGCAUCCGGGAAGGGCCCAGGCGUCCGGGAGAGGGACCCAGGUGACCGGGAAAAGGGGCCCAGGAGUCCGGGAAGGGGCCCAGGCGUCCGGGAGGGGGGCCCAGGAGUCCGGGAAGGGGCCCAGGCGUCCGGGAAGGGGCCCAGGCGUCCGGGAGGGGCCCAGGCGUCCGGGACCUACCUGUACGGCCGCCGCUGCUCCUCGGCGAGUCCCCGCCAGAGCUGGGCCAACUCCCGCGUCGCCGCCGUGGACGCCAACCCCGGCCGGGCCCUGUCCCCAAGGCACCGUCACCGUCACCGCGGCCUCCGGGGGGCGAUGGCACCCGCCACCCCCACCCG